ACCGACACUCUCCAUAAUAUUUACUGUAGACUACAGUAAUUACCAUAGUUACAAUAUUUAGAGUCUAGUGGAGAAGUACUGUUCAUCCUCUUAUCUUCUCUCUUCUUGUAUACGAAACACAACCAGAUCAAUAGAGGUGUGUGUGAAGCUCUUUCUUCUUAGAAACCCUCUUGUGUGUAUGACUUACUACUACUCUUGUGUGUGUAUGACUUACUACUACUCUUGUGUCUUUCUAAACAUUCUCAACACGUUAUCAGUACGAUUCUCUUCUACACACUAUCACAAUUUUUUUUGCUCUAGUCUUUGGCUCUUCAAACCUAUUGCUAUCCUUGCUUACUGUCUGGAUCAUGAUCUUUUUUCUUCUUGCUGGCCCCUCACACAUUAGUUGCUUGCUUAGAGCACUUGUUCCACUCUCUGCCUUGCUUGCUCUGAAUACUUGAUCCAGCCCAACUCCAC
rnacentral:lncRNA from 1 species